AAAGAAAUUCACCUACGCAACGGGCAGUAUUUGAAUAUCUUAAAGGGAGAGUGUUAGAUGUAUAUCCUAAAUAUAAGAAAGAAGCUAAGGAUCAUCUAUCAAAAGUUGUUAAGUUGAAUCCAUUAGAAGAAACACUCCUUCCCCUUUUCAACGAAAUAACUGAGUCAUAUCAGAUCCUAAUAUCUUCGGAAGGUCUUCAGAACAAGAAAGAAUGACCAUAUAGUUCUGGCGGGAAGGUGAUAUACUUUAUAAGCUUCAUCAUCCAAAUGUGGUGGAAUUUUAUGGGGUAGUUCAAGAUGGACUAAGAGGAACAAUGGCAACUGUCACGAAGUUCACAAUGGAUCUGAAAAUGCCUUAGACAAACAAGGUUACCAAGUUCCCUUGACAAUUUUGGUUGAUAAAGAAAGGAACAAAGCUGUGUAUGCUGAGUCAGGAACAACAAAUACGGCGGGUCCUUCACCAAGAGUGGUAAAUCAAUUAGAAAAAGGGAAGACGGAGUGCUGAAGAAAAAACUUCCAUUGGUCGUAGGAAGACAUCGGCUGCCCUGUCAAUUCGUGGGAGACCACCACAUCCAUCAAACUCAGAUUCAUAAACUGCUACCAUGACUAUUUUCAGAUGAGCUUUUCCAGUUUGGUUAGAGCAAUAAUUUGAGAAUGGAGAUAUGGAUUCUUGAGUAAGAGACAGGAGAUAUGCAUUUCAAAAGCUAUUUUCAGAUGAGUUUUUCAAGUUUAUGGCUUUAGCAAGUUUAUUUUAGCAGUCUCACUAACCAGUUAAAUCCAGGAUGAAAAAGUAGAAAAUGAUGAUAGUAGUAGAGGAAAUAAUGCUUGCAGCUCGGAACUUUUAAGCCACGCAGCUGGUGUUGGACCUGAUGACAACUUAGUGACAUCAUUUGCAGUUCUCAGGGAUUGUAUUUCAUAUGAAAAUGUUUAAGAACAUUCAGAUAUUGCAAGGAGUGUCUCAAAUACAGAAACGUCACUACCAGAGUCAUCAUGUCAUGAGAAUCUUGAUGUGCAGAGUUAUGACGCUAAUGAAUUGAAUGCUUCGGCGAUUGCCAACUGUUCUAGAAUCACAGAAUCAGAAAUUGAAAGGGAGGAAACUGAUCUGGAAUCAAAACGUGCCAUCGAUGACU